rnacentral:lncRNA from 1 species
CGAUCUGCCUUCACCCAGAAGCGAUCCACGGCAAUGGGCUUACUGGACCAGUGGAGAAGAGCACUCCGGUCACCGAGCGGCGACACGACACGAUUUGGCCACACCGCCCACCGCUCUUCCCACUUCGCCAUCUGGAGACUUCCAGAAGGCAGCAGAACCCCCAAAUCCUCCUCGCUUCUACGCUGCACGAUCAAACCAACUCCCGAAAAUCCCACGCAAAAGAAGCGAAAAAUUAAAACGACAUGAACUCCCUCAAGAACUCGCGCUCCGCCCUCUCCCGUCCCCUCCGCCACAAACCN